AUGAACGCUGGCGGCGUGCUUAACACAUGCAAGUCGAACGAUGAUGCCCAGCUUGCUGGGUGGAUUAGUGGCGAACGGGUGAGUAACACGUGAGUAACCUGCCCUUGACUCUGGGAUAAGCCUGGGAAACUGGGUCUAAUACCGGAUACGACCAUCUGGCGCAUGUCAUGGUGGUGGAAAGCUUUUGUGGUUUUGGAUGGACUCGCGGCCUAUCAGCUUGUUGGUGGGGUAAUGGCCUACCAAGGCGACGACGGGUAGCCGGCCUGAGAGGGUGACCGGCCACACUGGGACUGAGACACGGCCCAGACUCCUACGGGAGGCAGCAGUGGGGAAUAUUGCACAAUGGGCGCAAGCCUGAUGCAGCGACGCCGCGUGAGGGAUGACGGCCUUCGGGUUGUAAACCUCUUUCAGUAGGGAAGAAGCGAAAGUGACGGUACCUGCAGAAGAAGCGCCGGCUAACUACGUG
rnacentral:rRNA from 1 species